CCACGUACUUGUACAAGUACAAAUUAACGAUAACAGUUCAGACCUGAGAUUUGUACUACAUAGAUGGAGUAACUGCCUAAUGUACUUACCCAAGUACAAAUGAGGGAUUGCUCAUUUACCGGGUAGUUUUUUUACAUCGCCAACAUUGCUACUGUUAUUAUAAUUCUUUACUCUGUAGUCAAUUCCGUCAUGUUAGACAGGUUACGUCAACUGUCAGUGUUAGUGUCACUUUUUAGCAAGAUGACCAUGCGGUCGGCUCGUCGGCUAACACGAGCUUUCGACGAAAUACAAAUAGCAGAACUUCUUAAUAAUUCGGAGUUCGAAGACUCGGAUGAUGAAUAUGUGCCUGACCUGACCUCCCUGACCUAACCUAAACCUGUCCUCGGAAUCUGAAGGUGGAGAAAUAGAAAUCGCUGUAAGUGGAGGUGGAUCUACUCGUCGUACUCAAAGUGCUCGUGACCAACGAGUUGGACGUGGCCGUGGCAGAAGUACAAGUACAAGGGCACGACAUAGCGGGCAUAGUGCCUGUACCAUCAAAAAUGCGACGCUUAUAUGGCAAUAUCCACUUACCGGAACAUCUAGACAAACAACAACGAGGCCAUCUCUCUGGGUGUGACAAAAGGAGUUUAUUUAAAUGCUCUGACUGUAAUGUAGCUAUUUGCCUGAACUCAACAAGAAAUUGUUGCAGGGCCUUUCAUCGACAAGAGAAUUAAUAAUAAGAAAUAAAAAGUGAUUUUGAAAUAAGAUGUCAAUUAAACUAGCACGUAAGGAAGAUUGUUAUGUCCUCUAUCCUAUUUCGAUAAUUAAGAAUAGUGAUACUGUUAUCCUCUGGUUUAUAAAAGUAAAUUAUGCUAAUAUU